CCUACGGGUGGCAGCAGUGAGGAAUAUUGGUCAAUGGGCGAGAGCCUGAACCAGCCAAGUCGCGUGAGGGAGUACUGCCCUAUGGGUUGUAAACCUCUUUUGUCGGGGAGCAAAAGCCGGACGUGUCCGGCUGUGAGAGUACCCGAAGAAAAAGCCCCGGCUAACUACGUGCCAGCAGCCGCGGUAAUACGUAGGGGGCAAGCGUUAUCCGGAUUUACUGGGUGUAAAGGGGGCGCAGACGGCGAUGCAAGCCAGGAGUGAAAGCCCGGGGCCCAACCCCGGGACUGCUCUUGGAACUGCGUGGCUGGAGUGCAGGAGGGGCAGGCGGAAUUCCUGGUGUAGCGGUGAAAUGCGUAGAUAUCAGGAGGAACACCGGUGGCGAAGGCGGCCUGCUGGACUGCAACUGACGUUGAGGCCCGAAAGCGUGGGGAGCAAACAGGAUUAGAUACCCGGGUAGUC
rnacentral:rRNA from 1 species